GUCAUCUCCUCGUUUGGGAGCUUGGUUGGCAUCUCAACAGGAAGGUUUUCUCAUUUUGGUGGAACAUUUUGGCAUCUAGCAGGGGUUUUCUCCUCGUUUUGGAGAUCUUUUGGCACCUUCUGCUUGAGGUUAUCCUCGUUUUGGUGCCUCUUUGGCACUUUUCACCCUGUUGCUCCUUGUUUUGGUGUUUUUUGGCAUCUACCUGAGGUUGCUCCUUGGUUUGGUGCCACUUUGGCACCUUCUCCCUAAGGUUUUCUCC